CAGCCGCCGCGGUAACCCCAGCGCCACAAGUGGGAACCACGCUUAUUGGGUCUAAAGCAUCCGUAGCCGGUUCUGCAAAUGCCCUGUGAAAUCGUUGCGCUUAACGUAACGGCGUGCAGGGUAGACUACAGAACUAGAGACCAGAGGAAGGAGACGGUAUUCCUGAGGGAGCGGUAAAAUGUGAUAAUCUCAGGAGGACCACCGAUGGCGAAGGCAGUCUUCUAAUAUGGAUCUGACGGUGAGGGAUGAAAGCUAGGGGAGCGAUCCGGAUUAAAUACCCGAGUAGUCCUAUUCGUAAACGCUGCAUGCGUUUCCCCUUUUGGUCCUCGGGAUUGCGGGGGGGCUAAAAGGGGCGAUUUCCCCCCCCCCCCAUUUUAAUUCCCCUCGAGGGGGUUAUAUUUACAGUUAAAACGGGGGAAAAAA
rnacentral:rRNA from 1 species